GCGGCCGUGGCGGAAUGGUAGACGCGUUAGCUUGAGGGGCUAGUGGGAGGUUCUCCCGUGGAAGUUCGAAUCUUCUCGGCCGCA
rfam:Carnobacterium inhibens subsp. gilichinskyi strain WN1359, complete genome.